rnacentral:rRNA from 1 species
UACGUAGGGUGCAAGCGUUGUCCGGAAUUAUUGGGCGUAAAGAGCUUGUAGGCGGCUUGUCACGUCGACUGUGAAAACCCGGGGCUCAACUCCGGGCCUGCAGUCGAUACUGGCUGGCUUGAGUGCGGUAGGGGAGACUGGAAUUCCUGGUGUAGCGGUGAAAUGCGCAGAUAUCAGGAGGAACACCGGUGGCGAAGGCGGCAUCCUGGACCGGUAUUGACGCUGAGGCGCGAAAGCCAGGGGAGCAAACGGG